rnacentral:rRNA from 1 species
AAUCUUCCACAAUGGACGGAAGUCUGAUGGAGCAACGCCGCGUGAGCGAAGAAGGUUUUCGGAUCGUAAAGCUCUGUUGUAAGGGAAGAACACGUACGGGAGUCACUGCACGUACCUUGACGGUACCUUAUCAGAAAGCCACGUCUAACUACGUGCCAGCAGCCGCGGUAAUACGUAGGUGGCAAGCGUUGUCCGGAAUUAUUGGGCGUAAAGCGCGCGCAGGCGGUCCUUUAAGGUUGAUGGGAAAACCCAAGGCUCAACCGUGGAGGGUCAUUGGAAACUGGAGGACUUGAGUACAGAAGAGGAAAGCGGAAUUCCACGUGUAGCGGUGAAAUGCGUAGAGAUGUGGAGGAACACCAGUGGCGAAGGCGGCUUUCUGGUCUGUAACUGACGCUGAGGCGCGAAAGCGUGGGGAGCAAACA